UACGAAGGGGGCUAACGUUGUUCGGAAUUACUGGGCGUAAAGCGUGUGUAGGCUGCUACAUAAGUCGGAUGUGAAAGCCCCGGGCUCAACCCGGGAAGUGCACUCGAUACUGCGUAGCUUGAGUCUCGGAGAGGUUGGUGGAAUUCUCGGUGUAGAGGUGAAAUUCGUAGAUAUCGAGAGGAACACCGGUGGCGAAGGCGGCCAACUGGACGAAGACUGACGCUGAGACACGAAAGCGUGGGGAGCAAACAGG
rnacentral:rRNA from 1 species